UAUAUCGUACAAAAAGUCGUAGGCAAAAACAAAAUUUCUUUUGCUCUCGUCUCGUAUAAUUUUUAUGUUCUCUAUUCUCGGGCUGCUGAAAAACGCAUGCGCUGGCAGCAACAACAACGACAACAAAAGCUCGAAAAGUGUAUUUCAUUCAAUAGGAAAACCUCAGACGACGGUGGUGGAAAAACCAGGCAAGGCGAACGCAAAACGGAAGCGACGAGCACUGCGCAAACUGCGCAAACCACGAGCCAGCAAACAAACAAAAAAAAAAAAGGAAGAAAAAAAGCAACGACAACAACGACAACAACGACAACAAGAACAAGGGUGAAAGGGUGUGCAUGUUUUGUUGUUGGGCCAAAACUCACCACCGGGGCGCGAAAAGAGGGUGGAGUUGCCCUCAGUGAGUGAGCGCGUGUGCUUGUGCCUGUCAUUGUGUUUGUGUGUGCUUGUGUAUGUGCGCGCAGCCGCCAGCCCCCGUGAAUUUGCUUGGUGAAAUUUUGCUGGCGGCCCGGUUUUGCGGCCCAGCAGUUGCCCAGUCGCCCAGUUGCCUGUCGCCAGUCGCUAGUCGCAUUUCGAGCUGUGCUGCUCAAGCGCCUGCCGCCACACCACACACAAAAAGUUAAGAGCAACUAGCAACAAAACAGCAACACCAACACCAAUAGCAACACCAACAGCAAUAACAACAACAACAAAUACGCGUCUUCUACAACAUUCCCACGAUAUCCCCUCCCGCAGCCGGAAACUGGGCAGGGCGCUGUUUUUCAAAAUUCUUAAACGUGUGUCGCGUGUGAAAUUUGUGUGUGUGUCUCUUGUUUUGAGAAAGAAUAAGUUAAGAAAAAAAAAGCAGCUGUAAGAAACAAGUGAAUUCUUCUGCAUUACCAUCAACCACCAGCACCACCACCACCACCACCACCACAAACAGCAACAACAACAACAACACCAGCACAGCCAAUUCAUCAACCAACUCAGUUCAGUUCAGUUCAGCUCAGCUCAGCGCCAGGCAGCAUCCAGCGACGAUUCCAACCUCACUUUUGUGCCGCAGAACUUAGCAGCUCUUCAGCUUUUGUCGCCUCUUCCACAUAAGCACAAGAAACACACAUCCAUAAGGACAACUAGUAGGAUACACAUGCGGACAGGACUCUUCCUGUUUGGCUCCAUCUACGGGAACCUACUUUCCAAUUGCUAAGCAACUAAAGUCGACAGCAACACGAAAAUGGAAGAAUGCUUAACGGCGGCAGCAGCACGAACAUUUUCAGCGAAAUUCUGUGAAAUUUGAAUUGCAUAUAUAAAUAUAUAUAUGUUAACCAGUACAAUAAUUAGCUAAAGGAGCCAAUUAGCUGCGUUGUGUUCCAAGUAAACAACAGAAAACUUCCCUCAAAAAAUAUAAAAAAAAACUUACACAGAAAAAGGCAAAUAGCGAAAAGCGAAGCGAAACUUGAACAAUAAAAACACAUUAAUUUUAGCUGAAGAACAAAUUGAAAAGCGCACAUUGCAAAUGAAUUGAACUGCUUCCUAACUUAUAAUAUAUAUUAACAAAAAGAAACAAACAAUAACAAGAACCACACGUAACGGCAGCAGCAGCAGCAA
rnacentral:misc_RNA from 1 species